rnacentral:rRNA from 1 species
AACGAACGCUGGCGGCAUGCCUAAUACAUGCAAGUCGAACGAGAUCUUCGGGUCUAGUGGCGCACGGGUGCGUAACGCGUGGGAAUCUGCCCUUUGGUUCGGAAUAACAGUUGGAAACGACUGCUAAUACCGGAUGAUGACGAAAGUCCAAAGAUUUAUCGCCAGAGGAUGAGCCCGCGUAGGAUUAGCUAGUUGGUGUGGUAAAGGCGCACCAAGGCGACGAUCCUUAGCUGGUCUGAGAGGAUGAUCAGCCACACUGGGACUGAGACACGGCCCAGACUCCUACGGGAGGCAGCAGUGGGGAAUAUUGGACAAUGGGCGAAAGCCUGAUCCAGCAAUGCCGCGUGAGUGAUGAAGGCCUUAGGGUUGUAAAGCUCUUUUACCCGGGAUGAUAAUGACAGUACCGGGAGAAUAAGCUCCGGCUAACUCCGUGCCAGCAGCCGCCGCCG